UACGUAGGGCGCAAGCGUUGUCCGGAAUUAUUGGGCGUAAAGAGCUCGUAGGCGGCUUGUUGCGUCGACCGUGAAAACCCGGGGCUCAACUUCGGGUCGUGCAUUCGAUACGGGCAGGCUAGAGUUCGGUAGGGGAGAUCGGAAGUUCCUGGUGUAGCGGGUGAAAUGACGCAGAUAUCAGGAGGAACACCGGUGGCGAAGGCGGAUCUCUGGGCCGAUACUGACGCUGAGGGGCGAAAGCGUGGGGAGCGAACAGG
rnacentral:rRNA from 1 species